GCCUUAUACAUGCAGUCGAACGAAGUAGCAAUACUUAGUGGCAGACGGGUGAGUAACAUGUGGGUAUCUUCCCUUUGGUGAGGAAUAACACGAGGAAACUUGUGCUAAUACCUCAUAAGUCUUUACAGAGAAAGCUUUAUGCGCCAAUGGAUGAGCCCGCACUUGAUUAGUUUGUUGGUGGGGUAACGGCCUACCAAGACUUUGAUCAAUAGCUGAUCUGAGAGGAUGAUCAGCCACAUUGGGACUGAGACACGGCCCAAACUCCUACGGGAGGCAGCAGUAGGGAAUAUUGCACAAUGGAGGAAACUCUGAUGCAGCGAUGCCGCGUGAGUGAAGAAGGCCUUUGGGUUGUAAAGCUCUUUCGUCGGGGAAGAAAAUGACUGUACCCGAAUAAGAAGGUCCGGCUAACUUCGUGCCAGCAGCCGCGGUAAUACGAAGGGACCUAGCGUAGUUCGGAAUUACUGGGCUUAAAGAGUUCGUAGGUGGUUAAAAAAGUUGGUUGUGAAAUCCCGAAGCUUAACUUCGGAACUGCAAUCAAAACUUUUUAGCUAGAGUAUGAUAGAGGAAAGCAGAAUUUCUAGUGUAGAGGUGAAAUUCGUAGAUAUUAGAAAGAAUACCAAUUGCGAAGGCAGCUUUCUGGAUCAUUACCGACGCUGAGGAACGAAAGCAUGGGUAGCGAAGAGGAUUAGAUACCCUCGUAGUCCAUGCCGUAAACGAUGUGUGUUAGACGUUGGAAAUUAAUUUUUAGUGUCGCAGCGAAAGCAAUAAACACACCGCCUGGGGAGUACGACCGCAAGGUUAAAAC
rnacentral:rRNA from 1 species